UAAGGCGACUAUACUGAUAGUGCUCCACCUGUUCCCAUUCCGAACACAGAAGUGAAAUCUAUCAAGGCCGAUGGUACUAGCUUCGCGCUGGGAGAGUAGGUAGUCGCCCUAU
rnacentral:rRNA from 1 species